UACGCGAGGGAUAUAACCA
rnacentral:miRNA from 1 species